GGGGAAUAUUGGACACUGGGCGAAAGCUUGAUCCAGCCAUGCCGCGUGUGUGAAGAAGGUCUUCGGAUUGUAAAGCACUUCAAGUUGGGAGGAAGGGUAGUAAGUCAAUACCUUGCUGUUUUGACGUCACUAACAGAAUAAGCACCGGCUAACUUCGUGCCAGCAGCCGCGGUAAUACGAAGGGUGCAAGCGUUAAUCGGAAUUACUGGGCGUAAAGCGCGCGUAGGUGGUUUGGUAAGAUGGAUGUGAAAUCCCCGGGCUCAACCUGGGAACUGCAUCCAUAACUGCCUGACUAGAGUAAGGUAGAGGGUGGUGGAAUUUCCUGUGUAGCGGUGAAAUGCGUAGAUAUAGGAAGGAACACCAGUGGCGAAGGCGACCACCUGGACUGAUACUGACACUGGGGUGCGAAAGCGUGGGGAGCAAACA
rnacentral:rRNA from 1 species